AUAUCAACUUGAAACAAUGAUUCUAAUCCAAUCAACGAUGUUAAGCAACGUUGAGCCUGGUCAGUACCUAGAUGGGUGACCUCUUGGGAAUGCCACGUGCUGUAA